AGGCUGGGACCAAAUAAAGAAAGAAAAGAAGAGGAAGAAGAAAUUGCAGAUCCAAAGGGCAGCAGGGAAGAGAAAGGAAGACAGGAGAAGAGAGAUGGUGUUGAACAGCUAUGUAGCGGUAAGAGUAGCAAACAUGUCGGCAUACGCGUGUCAAUACAUAGCUUGCAAUCCCGAGAGAUUGAGUAGCGACCAAGUUCUGUACCUCCUCUUCUGCUUCCCGUUCCUUCAACUCCGUCGCUUCCUCCUCAACUUCCGACGACGACCCUCCCCUUGAUUCCUUAUUGCAAACGCCUCUCAGGCCCAAACAGUCCCCAACUCUUAAAGAGCAAAGGCUACGAAAUAAUCCCACAUCGGAAACCUCUGUCUACAAGGACUUCUUUAUAUACAAUUGACUCCCAUCUAAGCUUGUCCCUUCGGGGACAUCCGAUAAAAUUGGAACGAUACAGAGAAGAUUAGCAUGGCCCCUGCGCAAGGAUGACACGCAUAAAUCGAGAAAUGGUCCAAAUUUUUUUGCAAUUUUUUGCAAUUUUUUGCUUGAUCUUCUGCUGUAUUAACUAUCACUAUAUGUCUGUAUUAAGUAACCUUUUCUUGCAAUUUUUGGCUUGAUCUUCUGCUGUAUAAACUAUCGGUGUGUUAAGAAUUUUUUUCUUGCUUCUAGCUUUGAGCCUGCAUUUGGUUCACUUUA